rnacentral:lncRNA from 1 species
UGGUUAGUAAACAAAAGUAAGAGAAACAAUGAUGUAUAAUUCAAGCAUGCUUGGUGAUCUCAAACCAAUCACAAGGAGUCCCACCCAAAGGCAAAGGGAACCAAGAUGCUAAAGAUCCUUGAGGCAAUGUAAAUGCAAUGUUAUGAUGCCAUGAGGGAUCUUAGGGUCAAAAUUGGGGUCUUACAGAUACCAGAAUUUCAAUUGGUAUCAGAGCAGGCAUCCUGCUCUAGUUCUGGGUGAGAUCUAGGGACGUUACUUUCUGGUACUAUGGAGAGAGAUG